rnacentral:rRNA from 1 species
AUGAAGAAGCACUUGAGCAGCUAUGGUGAUUCGUGGCCUUCCUAUGCUGUGGCAAUGGAUCACAAGAAUCCCAUAGGCGGUUCAGCGCCACCAAAUGAACCAGAUUGUAUCGGAAUCACGGAGUUCCUUGGGGGCAAGAACUUUCUCAUCACUGGUGGGACUGGAUUUCUAGCAAAAGUUAUUAUAGAGAAAAUCUUGAGGACAACUCCUGCUGUCGGCAAGAUAUAUGUGUUGAUAAAGGCGAAGGACGGUGAGGCCGCACUGAAAAGGUUGCAAAAUGAGCAACUCCGUGGGAAAGACUACCACCAUUUUUUAGCAAGAAAACUGGUUGCUGUAGUAGGCAACGUCAGAGAAGCUAACAUGGGCAUUGCGCCUAAGCAAGCGGAUGAGAUUGCUAAAGAAGUGGACAUCGUCAUCAACAGUGCAGUGAAUACGACGUUCGAUGAGAGGUAUGAUACUGCUAUGGACGUCAACACCAUGGGACCGUUCCGGUUAAUGACUUUUGCGCGUAGAUUUCGAAAGCUGAAGCUAUUCUUGCAUGUAUCAACAGGCCGCCUGAGUGGGUUCCCGGCGGACGGGGAUGGUGUCGUUGACGUGGUUCCGGCGGACAUGGUGGUGAACGCGACUCUCGCAGCGGUGGCAAAGCACGCUCAGGCCAUAGGGGCGGCACGGGAGAUGCACAUCUACCAUGUGGGAUCAUCGACAGCGAACCCGCUGAUGUGGCACAACAUGUUCACAUUCUUUUUCCAGCAUUUCACGAGGUACCCCUUGAGCAUGGCGGCAGGGCCACCAAUCAAGGUGGCGCCCAUGAGGCUCUUCGACAGCAUGCAGCAGUUCAACAGCAAUGUCGAGAGGGACGUGCUGCUCUGGGGUGCCGGCGAGACACUCUCGCCUCGGGCGCGGAUGCUUUUCACCAAGUACGCCGAGAAGAUCACCCACCUCGCCCGCAUGUACCAGCCCUACAGCUUCUAUGGCUGCAGGUUUGACAACACCAACACCGAGGCGCUCUUCCUAGAGAUGUUAGUGGAGGAGAAGGCGCAAUUCCACUUCGACGUGCGGAGCAUCGAGUGGAAGGAAUACUUCACCAACGUGCACAUCCGGGGGUUCCUGAAGCACGUCAUGAAAGGGAGCGGCACUUCCUCCAUUGUUGGAAAUAAUUAA